GAUGAACGCUAGCGGCAGGCCUAAUACAUGCAAGUCGAACGGGAUUCAGGUGCUUGCACCUGAUGAGAGUGGCGUACGGGUGCGUAACGCGUAUGCAACCUACCUUAAUCAGGGGGAUAGCCCGAAGAAAUUCGGAUUAACACCGCAUAAAAACACAGCCUGGCAUCAGGUAAUGUUCAAAUAUUUAUAGGAUUAAGAUGGGCAUGCGUGUCAUUAGCUAGUUGGCGAGGUAACGGCUCACCAAGGCGACGAUGACUAGGGGAUCUGAGAGGAUGACCCCCCACACUGGUACUGAGACACGGACCAGACUCCUACGGGAGGCAGCAGUAAGGAAUAUUGGUCAAUGGAGGCAACUCUGAACCAGCCAUGCCGCGUGCAGGAAGACUGCCCUAUGGGUUGUAAACUGCUUUUAUGCCAGAAUAAACCUUGAUUCGUGAAUCAAGCUGAAUGUAUGGUAAGAAUAAGGAUCGGCUAACUCCGUGC
rnacentral:rRNA from 1 species